GGCCAGACUCCUACGGGAGGCAGCAGUCGGGAAUAUUGCGCAAUGGAGGAAACUCUGACGCAGUGACGCCGCGUGCAGGAAGAAGGUUUUCGGAUUGUAAACUGCUUUAGACAGGGAAGAAACAAGACAGUACCUGUAGAAUAAGCUCCGGCUAACUACGUGCCAGCAGCCGCGGUAAUACGUAGGGAGCAAGCGUUAUCCGGAUUUAUUGGGUGUAAAGGGUGCGUAGACGGAGAAGCAAGUUAGUUGUGAAAUCCCUCGGCUUAACUGAGGAACUGCAACUAAAACUACUUCCCUUGAGUGCUGGAGAGGAAAGUGGAAUUCCUAGUGUAGCGGUGAAAUGCGUAGAUAUCGCGCAGAACUCCGAUUGCGAAGGCAGCAUGCCGGCUCCACACUGACGCUGAGGCACGAAAGCGUGGGUAUCGAACAGGAUUAGAUACCCUUGUA
rnacentral:rRNA from 1 species